rnacentral:rRNA from 1 species
UACGUAGGUGGCAAGCGUUGUCCGGAUUUACUGGGUGUAAAGGGCGCGCAGGCGGGAUAAAAAGUCAGAGGUGAAAUCCUACAGCUUAACUGUAGAACUGCCUUUGAUACUUUUAUUCUUGAGUUCGGAAGAGAGAGACGGAAUUCCAGGUGUAGUGGUGAAAUACGUAGAUAUCUGGAAGAACACCAGUUGCGAAGGCGGUCUCUUGGUCCGAUACUGACGCUGAGGCGCGAAAGCGUGGGGAGCAAACAGG